rnacentral:rRNA from 1 species
UUGAGAUGGCCUCUCGCCCUAUUCAGUGUAACAGCUGUGGUAGUGGGUUUGGUCGCUCGCAUUUAAAUUGGAAGGGUAAUGGUGGACCGCACUUCUCCCUUAGUAGGACGUUGCGACCUGUCAAAUAAUAUCCUAAGUAUUUGGCUAAUUUGUCUGUUUUUAGGCAGUACUGAAAGGUAUUUCCUUUAACAGUUUUAGCCGUUUAGAUACUGGAUAUAAUUGACAGUAACGAAUCAUGGUGUUGAGCCACUUACUUUGUAAGUGUCCUUUAUGGCUGUUUGCAAGUGGGUUGGUUAAUUAGUUUUAGUCGGAUUUCGGUCCGUCUAACUAUUCCGCCUACUGUUGGUAAACUGUUCCUUGGACAGUGCUUAUAACACCGGUCGGCAGCGAUUCAGGUUCAGGCUCUUAUCCGACCCGUCUUGAAACACGGACCAAGGAGUUUAGCGUGUACGCAAGUCAUUGGGUGUAUAAAACCCAAAGGC